rfam:Myotis lucifugus cont2.29358, whole genome shotgun sequence.
AUCCCUUCUUGGCCUUUUGGCUAAGAUCAAGGGUAGUAUCUGUUCUUAUCAGUUUAAUCGAUUGCUGAUCUUGUGAAGUCAUAUGCAAUACAAACUUUACAUUCUUA